rnacentral:miRNA from 1 species
UUUGCAACUUUAUCCAUUUCACU